ensembl:lncRNA
AAUGGCAGCCCGCAGCAGCAGCGGGCGCAUGGGGGAAGAUGGCCGCACGCCAGCACGGCCGCGUCCUGCCGCCCUUCCACAGGGACACGGGGGUGGGCUCGGGGCCGGGCCGGGGACUGCAGCGGGCAUCACCGGGAGGUUUGUUUGUGUUGUGUAACCAGGGCUCGGCACGCGCGUUGGGUAACGCCGCCGACAUUUCACCUACUUUCAAGCCACUGCUGCGACGAAUCCGUUUGGCCCCAAGUUGUUUUCGCCUCCAAGGAAAGUACGUUUGCACGGCGGAGCCUCCCCACCCUCUCGCCGUAAUUCCCCGGGGCGGACGAGGAGGGAGACGGGGAUUAAAGAGUCGCAGUGCUUGGCAGAGAGCCCCGGCGAAACACUGGGAAUGUGGAAAAGUGAUACGGGUGCCCAGCAAAACAGGCUGCAGGAGGGUAUUUUAUGUGUCAGAGAGUGCAGGAACGUUCGGAUGCCCCGGGGAACAUGAACAACACCUACAACGCCUGGAACAGCACCGCAUGCUGCGGUUCCAGCAUUACUCACCCCCAGGACUCGGGCUCUUCCCCACCCAGUUACAUAUGACCAGGAAAUUAUAGCCUGCACGGCUCCAGGCCUGGCUGAACGGUUGCCAUAUCGUAUGAUGCACAACAGCGGUGAGACUGAUGAAACAACAGAGCAAUGUGUUUUUACUGAAACUGAUGCUCUACAGAACAGACAGGCUUGGCUGGGCCAGACUGCCAUUUGGUGUCUUGAAUGCAUGCUCCCUCUUGCACAACUUGCCAUUAAUUAAAAAUUCUGGAUAAAAAUGAAAUUCUGAUCUUCCUUUAUGUUCGUUCCUCAUUGCCCUCCUUUUUCUUACAGCAGACUCCAUGGCCAGCCGUUGUGCGCCCCAGACGCUAGUUUCCCCAUCUUUCUUAUUUCAUCCAUCACUCUGUGCUUUCAUCUUUCUUCACACUCAGCAUUCACAAGGUCUUUCUCCUAUUGCUUUCCUAUCCGUGGCCUCUGCAUCUCUCACCUUUAAAACAUACUCUUCCCAGGUCUGCUGCACACCUCUCCUCCCUGCAGGACACGGCCCAUGGAGCUGCAAAGGUCAUCUUUGCAGCAUACUGUAUCACCUCAUUCCUCUCUUGAGUUUAUCCAACACCUUCUACUUAACAUUGAGUUUAAAGAACUUGUUAAAUCAAAGGUCACCUGCGCAAGACUGCUCAUCCAUCUUUUACACUAUGUUCCUGCCUGUCUCCUCCACUAACAAGAUGAGUCCUUGCCUGCCCUGCCAGUCUCCACACACCUUUCCAUGCCACCUCCCCGCUGUAUGCCUCUUUUUGCUCCACCUUUUGCAGCAGCAUCUCUACCUGGGUCAGAUGUCUGCAGCUGAGGUAGUCUGAUUUCCUGUAGGAUUGGGUGUCAUUGAGUCUAAGCACCACUAAAGCCUUUUCUACCAGCAGAGUGUUUUACAGUGCUGUAGCCCAUGAAAAUUCUCUCAAGUCUGAGAAUAUAUGAGCUGCUCUUAGUGCAAUAUUCUCCUGAGAUGAAGAAAAUGGUCUUCCCUUCCCUUCCCUUCCCUUCCCUUCCCUUCCCUUCCCUUCCCUUCCCUUCCCUUCCCUUCCCUUCCCUUCCCUCAGCUUCUUAUUUUAACAACUAAGUAUUUCUGAGACAGCUUCUCCUCCAUCAAAUUUGCUUGAAGUUGAAAAUUAUCCACGCACCAGACAGACAUAUUAUCAUACACGCAUGCUCCCCCAUACACAAAGUUCUUGUAAUCACAUAGGCUUUCUUUCUUCACAAAACCAGACAUAGAUUGUAACUGCAAAGCCCUGCGCUUCUUCUCAUUACACCCUUUGUGCUCUAUGUUAAUUGUUUUUCUUCCACCAUUCCUCUGUGUUUACCUUUUUAGACCUUCUACUCCUAAGGGCAGAGACUGGGCUCUCUUCUGCGCCUGGAAAGUGUUAAGUGCCUUAUGGGCAUUACAACAAUUUAAUUAGUUAAUAAGUACUAACGAUUUGCAUUAGUAUCAUGCUUCCUGCCAUGUCACAUCAGACCACCACUCCAGCCAGUCAGAUAUUUCCCUCUCUCUUGGUGCUCUGAAUUAAUUGUCACUCCAGUGAGGCCUGGUGUCUAGUAGUGGUCACUCCCUGUCCCAUCUCAUUUUGCACAGUCCAUCUAAGACUUUAUAAUUGUAAAUGCAUCCACGGUCCAUCUUCUGUAGUGUCUGAGCUCCUGCUUCAUAAAGAUAGACGACUGGCAGCUUGGUAACGGGUCUGAUGGGGUGAGACUUGCCAAGGGAUGAAGGCUCUGCAAUACUCCCAGCACCAUGCUGCUCUAGGACAGGAAAACAGAAGGACCAAGGAAGACUCCUCACUGACCCCAGUCCUCUCAUGCCUCACAGCACAUCACACAGGAAGCUUUUAUUUGGUGAUUACAAUUGAGAGCACUUUCUUCAAAAUACAAUAUUUUCUUCAAUAAUGCGGUGCAGUAGUGAAUUCCACAAUUUAUCCUGUAGCUUGCUGCUUCAAGGAGAGAGAAUCUGUAGUUGAUAACAUCCAGUGAUCUUUCACAUCCUGUAUCAAUCAUAUUGAAUUGCAAGGAAAACUAGGAGCCUCCUGGAAGGUUUUGAUGGCUUUGCAGUGGAAAGAAUCAGGAAUGUGAGACUUGGGUGAAGAAUUUCAAUUAAAAGGAAGCCAGGAAAGACCUUUGAGAUGAAAUGGACACCUGUAAUACAUUUUAAGAGAUAUCUUUCAUUUAUGUAUCAUAGACCCAUAUCCCCGCAAAAGCCUUUUUGUCUUAUAUUUCAGCGGAGAAUCCUGCACUGAGAAGCUGCAGAUGGAUGAUUUGGUACAAGAAAUAAAAUAUUCAGGCAGUGAGAGAUGAAAUACUCCUUAAACAUUGUUCAUACGUCUACCACUUGGUGUUGGAAGCACGCUUGUCAUGCUGCUGAGGAACAGGAAGGCAAUUUCAAGCAGUGGAAGCAAUACAAGGAAAGUGGUAGGACACAACUGCAGUGGCACUUAGGAAGAUUGUUGGGAAAACUGAAAGCUCGCUAGAACAGGAUGAAGCCAGGAGCCACUCAGGAUAUGCAUCUGGAAGCCGUGGUGAGCACCUUGCUGAGGCCUAUUGUUGGGGCCAGCUCCUGGCACAGCAGCUGGCCCUGCUGGGCAUGGUGACUCAACCAAGGUUAUUGGUAUGACUGAAGGCUCCAGAGGAAGUCUGGUCCACUUUGUGGUUCUAUAGUGCUGCCCCAGGGGCUGUGUGAAAUUAACAGCUGGGAAACGAUGUCGAACCUUCAGUCAGCUCUGUAUUAUCACUCUAGCACAAGAUAUAAAAGGAAAAUGUGGGUCUUACCGUAGACAUAAUUCAACCAUAGAAAAGAGACCGGCAUUUCAGAAUGACAGGUCCUCCUGCACGACUGGAGCAUGAUCUAGUUGGUACCUGAGAUAUCUGUUGUUUACGGGCACUGACUCCUCACAAACAAAUCAACUAAAUGAAGCAAGUGGGUGAUAAAGUAGAGCUGAGAACUGCAUUGUCCUCCUCAGAGUCAUAAAAACUCAUCUCUUUUACAACUGCUGAGUGCUUUGCCAAUAUCAUGCCAAGGUGAGAGCAGCGGGGGGAAGGGAAAGAUAUUGAAAAGGAAAAUAAAUGGGCCAGGUAAACAGUGCUGUUGCUGCUGCUGCUGCUGCAGGGUUGCCAUGGCGACUGGGUGAAGAAGAGAAGGAGGAGGAGGAGGGAUGCGGGCUGAUCGAUAGUCCUGUGCUAGCUCAUCUGGCUUCCAUCCACGUGCUGCUACAGAGGGAGAGAAAAUCAAAGAGCCACACGCAGGGCGGACAGGGCCGCGGAUUCGAUACCCGGCAGCGGCUCGAUCGAUAGCUUGUUGGAAGGCGGGUAAUUGACUCCCGUUCUGCCCAGGAGAAAGCAAUGCAGAGACAGAGGUGUGUUCGUUAGCUACUGAUCCGCAGCUGUACUUUAUCACCCAGUUUGUUCAUUUAGUUGAUUUGUUUGUUGAGAUCUCCUCUUCAGCCUGAUUUCUCGCUGUAUCCGUCAGAGAUGAGCACGGCUGCGGGACCACAGCCAGCAUCUCCCUCAAGUUCCACGGUCACUUUCCCUCUCCUGUCCUUUCUUUGGUCACGUCAGCUGCUUUAUCUCUCACUGGCGGGGGGAAGAUGGAAAUAAGGGCAGUCUUUUCUUACAGGAUUUCAAGAGCUUCCUUUGCUGCAUGGGUCUGGGAGCACCCAAGAACAGCUCCCCUGGGGAUGGCCUGCCUGAACUCAGGAGGCACAGUAUCCCCCGAAGAAAUGAAAUAGUUACAUCUAUUUUUGCACUUCACAAACCAAGUGAAGUAUAGGCAGAUCUUUACAAUUGUGAUUUUCGUAAUUCUGCCAUUCUCCAGGGGAGUUAUCUGCUGAGGGUGACCAGGUGAUGCUAUCAGAACAGACCAAAGAAUAAAAAGAGAGAGAGGAAAUGGAGGCAAGUCAGGGUGUGCUGAUUAAAAAACAGGAAGAUGCAAAAAAGAUAACCAGAGAAAAGCAUGUGCUCGUGUAGCACUGAGAUAGUGCGGGCUGACUCUCCCCUUCUCUCCAGACCUGAGUGUACAGCCCUGGCACAAAGCACACAUCUGACCUUCAGGCAGGCAGCACUGCACUUGUAAAUGAGCCUCCACUGUAAAUUGAGUUCACCUGCACGUUGAUCAAGCUUCUGCGGGCGUUUCCUAACAAAACAUAAUGGAAUUGGGGUGGUAAAAACAGGACUUACGCUUUAUGUCUUCUACCAAAAUGAGCAGCACAGAAUUCCCUAUCACCUCCCAAGGCACUGAAAAUAUAAGCAGGAAUAAAGCAGUGCCCCUCUGCGUGGUGCAGCACCCGUCAGCAAACAGCAUAAAAUGGUCCACCUUGGCUUGGAGAUGCUCUGCGUGGCAAGGGCCAUCCGUUUGCUUUAUACUUCUCUAUUGUCCAGUUUACUGGAGUCCUGCUCUACAGUGAGCACUUAGGCACUGUGGUAAUAAGAAGAGUAGUAGCAUCCAUUGCUGGAUAAUUGAUACUGCUUUGCAGAGCGAUGAGCCCCUCAGGGUACUGCUAAGAAGAGGCAAGCACACCAGAAGUAUCACUUCCUUCAGUUAUCUAGAUUUUUCUGGGAGCUAUCCCAUCCAAAUGCUCUGCAAAUGCAAUUUUAUUUAGCUUCUGAAUUAAAAAUGAAAACUCAUUUGCUUGGAAUUCAGUGUCUCUUAAGCUAGCUGGCAGCAGUCCAGCUCUCAGAGCUCGUGCUUUUAGGGUCUGAUCCAAAUCCCAGAGAAGUCACUGAAAAUCUCUCCACUGAUUUUAAUGAGUCAAACGAGUGUGUGAGGAGUAAACUAUCAUCUCUCAAGGCUUUUUUAUUAUUAUUAUUAUUAUUACUAUUUCCUUUCCAUGCUUUGAAGCACUAGCAGGUGUAUCUCACAGAAGCUGGAUGUAAAUCACGGUGGGGAGAGGGGGGCUGUGUGUGCACAACUGCUCCCUAUUGCACAACCCACAGAAUGCAGGCUGUGUCGGGCGAUACCAGCAGGGUAGGGACUGCAGCUCUUUCCACUCUCUUGCCUCUGGAAAUAUUUACAAACCACCCAGAGACGCCUCUCUGCCCUGUAGAAUAUUUUUCUUUGGUUCCUUUGUGAGUGGGAAGAUAAGAGCUUCCUAACCUCUGGGCAUAAUUUAUGGCAGAAAUAAAUAGCAAGAUGAUAGAACAGCUCUAAAGUAAAUUAUUGAAAAUGUUCACCUCCAGAGAGAGCAGGCAGGUGGGUGAGCCAGAAUCAAGUCAGACUAUAAGCAUUAGAGGAAUUGUAGAUUCUUCUAGUCGUAAAGGAACAAAAAGUGUUUGCUGCACCUGCAGACUGCUUCCUCCCGAGAAGGAAGCCGGAAGGUUGGACAAAAUAUUAAACAGGCGAUAAAACCGCCUGCAGCCAAAUUUGCGCUUGGGCAAAAUAGCUGAAAGGGCAUUUAUUAUUCUGUGUUGCUAUCAAGCUAAAUGCCUGGACUACCUGCCAACAAGCAGAGUAUUUAUUUGCUGAGCCCCUCUGUCUGACACAAACGGGCAAAGUAAUAGGGUGCAGGGAAGAAAGGGGAAGGGUGGGUCGGGUCUCAUCUGCAUCGGAAGGAUUCUGAAGUCAGCUCAGCGAGUCUGGCUGAUCAGUGUGCAAAUUCAAGGGCCUGGCCACAGAAGCACAGUCUAAAUUCUGGCAAGAAUGAGGUAAUCCAAAUGCAGCGUGAGCACAUUUGCAAGGGAAAUGAUGUAAUGCACAAACUGCCUACAUCCUUCUCAAAAGGGACCUUAAGGGUCUCUCAGGCUACGUGGGAGCCGUGGAAGAGCAUCUCACCUACCUCUGCGCUGGUGUGCAUUCACAGCUGUACACACCAGCCUCAAGGCAGGGUCCCUUUACAUUUCUGGUCACCUACUAAAAUGCCACUUUCUAGGAAUUUGCCCAGAAAUGUUCCUGGCAGGGAACCAACUCCUUCCCAAAGCUAGAGCAAUAGGGUUAAGUCAAGCUCUAUCAAUGGUUAAGCACGGGCUUUUGAUAACACAAGAUUCCUGUAUCCUAAAAAGCAAGAAAAACAACUGCAGUCCCACACUAGCAGAAAGGCAUCGGUGCUCCAGUUCUGUGGUUCAUACCAUAAUGUUUACCUGAGGCCUCAAAACAGAGGUCAUAAAGCAAAUCUGGGAGUGUUUAACACAGAGCUGUCUGGCAGGCAGUCUGUGGGCUGGGAUCAGGUCUUGGCAAUUUCCUUUGAAUUCCAUCUUUGCAAUGGAGGUGCUGGGGAAAGGUGAUUAAGGAAGCCCUUGAAGGCCAUUUGUUGGUGGGUCCCUCUAGCCAUAGGCUCUGCAAUUGCUUUUGUGCCUAGCAAGGCGGCGGGAGGACGGGCUGGAAGCUUGCUUCUGACUGUGCCUGCAGGUCACCUCAGCACCCACGGGGCAUGUGAGAGAAGGCACCUCAGCACUGGGGCUUUUAGCACUGGAAAAACUGGAUACCUUAAAAUCCUGAGAAUCUGUUCCAGGGAAAACACAGAGAACAAAGGGUGAAGAGGAGGAUCUUUUGCUUCUGGAAGAAUAGGCAGUGGGCAUGCGAGACUGAGAUCCUGGGCUUCAUAAGGACCUGCUAGGAUCCAUAUAAAUGAGGACAACUCUUGGGAGGAUGACAGAUCGCCUUCAAAUCUGGGACUCGUGACAGUGCCUUCAUUCCCUUUGCAUCAGCCUCAGGGGAGAGCCGUGAGCUGGAGCACUCAGUGCGCCCAGCUGACAGUUUGUUCCAGUGCCAGAACAAGCAGCCACGUCGUCCCAGGAGCCCUCCACUACACCCAAAAUGUGCACAGAGCUGCAAGCCAGUGACUUGACCUCAGAGCACCCUCAACCUGAGGACCCAGGCCAAUACCUACCAGUAAUAUAAUUUGAAUCUGGUGCUGCAGAGAUGCAUUGUUGUAUGAUUAAUGAAACCCAUUAAACCAGAAAGCCUCUUCAUCCAGCAGUGAAAACUCAGGAAAAAUACCAGAGUCAGCGACAGUGAAGGGGCUGAACCAAGAAGAGAAAUAAAUGCUUGUGGUUUAAGAAAGCUGACUUUCAGCCUCAUUUUGAGCUUGCUUUAUUCUGAAUUGUGAAUCCCCAUUGAUCCACUUUCAGCAGUUCCCAGAGCUGCCUCGUGCCUGUGCAGCUCCCCAGGCAGGAGGAGCAGAGAUUGCUCUGUCAGGAACAGGGCACGACAGGGGUGGCAAUGGCAACAGCAGUGUGAUCUGCCUCCUGUUCCUGGCUAAAAGCAAAGCCCAGACAUUUUGCUGACGCUGCCUCAGGUUCGUAUAGAUACAGCUGGUCACGCAGAUAGAUUAAUAUGAAGAGGAAGGUAGCAUGCAGUCACCAGUAACUGCAGCCUAGCCACACAUUAAUAUACCUGCCUCACUGCCGAUGUAAUCCUACGCAUCCAAGGAUCUGCACUGAGCUAAGCAAAAUUGUCUCCUACCUGCAAUCAAAGUGUACUUGGUUAGCUCACUUGCUGUAAAUGGUGGUGAUUAUUUGAUGCAUAUAACCUGAGCAGUGGUCAAAGAUGGCUGAGUCAAGACUAUACUUGAAUAUAGACAAACACUACGACAUCUGCCUUUGGGCAGAGCAGAAAGUGAAAAAAUGUGCCGACUGAGCAAUUAGGCUUCCAGUCACUUGUGAAUUUAGACACUUUUUUUUCCAGGUGACAAGAAUGAGUCCUCCUACUAUGCAAAAGGCCAGCUGCAAAAAUCCAGAGUCAGGGAGAAUACGGGAGACAGAAGAGCCUGGGGAGAGGACGAGCAAAGCAGCUCAAAGCACAGGGAGCCUGGAGAAAAACAGGAGCCAGAAGCCUGUGAGGAGGCUGCGCCCUUGAGCAGUGAGGACUGCAGCUGCCUCAGUCCCGCAGUGCCACAGGGAUGGCUGAGGCAGAGCCAGUCCCCACAGCAACACCUGCAGAGCUGUGGGAUGCCAGGUUGGCUUAUGCCCCAACCUCACCAACAGCAGCCUCAGGCAGGGAGACAGAGAUCCCUUUGCCUGAGCCCCUGGUGAAAGGCAGAUCAGCUGAAAAGCAGCUCCUGCUUUGGAGCGAUGCCACAGCCAGAUUUUGGAUUCCCAGGAGAUGAGGGGAGGCUGAGCUAAACCUCACUGUGUUUUAGGACAGAUAAAAGGACCAGCAAACAGGCAGAAGCAUCCUCAGCAGAGGGGCACAGAGGGACCCUCACUUUCUGACAAACCACAAAAGAAGUGCUUUUCCUUCCCCUUACUCCUUCUUUUUGUCUUUUUGUUUUUUUAACCUACUACAGCUUCUCUGCUGCCGCUUUUUGUUCUCAUUCUCCUUUCCAUGCUCCAGUGAAAUCUUCUGCUUUGCAGGCACGAUGCCAGUUCAGACUGAUGUUUACAAGCUAUAGUAGGGUUCACUUUCUCACUUGCACAGUUCACACCUUCUCCCAGAGAGAAAGAAGUCGUGGAAGUGAGAGGCUGCCAUUAGCAGGAUUGAAUGUCAGACACCUGAGGAAACUGAUACCAAAGAACUGAUGGAGGCAGUUCCUAGUGAACAGGUGGCUACAUCCUGAAACCUCUUCGCUGGAUGCUAACUGGCCCCAGGCUAGCUGCCUUGGUAGAAAGGCCAGGGGCCAAACGGGUCACAAUGACUGAAGUCUCCCAUGUCCUCAGGGGUUCUUCUACGGCUGGCUGAAGUGUGCUGCAGUGCCUGAGCACUCACCCGAGCCUGCUUCUGCUUCUCCAUUGUCUUUUUAUCAUGACUGAGAAUCUCAUAUCUUUCAGCAGAAUUCAUUUGACAUUGAAUUCAAGGAAAAAAAAAAUACAGGAAAAUUGUUAGGCUCUGAUAAAUAAACAUUUUCAGGAACAAUUUCAUCUUACUGACUGUGGAAAUGUGUGACAGAUCUGAACUGAGGCAAAUCAAGCGGACCGCUAUCCAUAUUUCAUUCCGAUAUUGUGAGAGAAAGCAGCAGCAGCCAGAGAAAUGGAAAGAUCGACAGUUAAUUGGAAAUGUUACAUCUGCUGUUUAUGCAAAAGGCAUAAAUAUUUAUAUCCUGAAGGCUGACUUUUGGGUUCGCUCCUCAGCAGGAAGAGAUUUACAUUUUGAAUAAAGACUUUUUUCUUUCUCCUUCUCGGUAAA